GUGCUUGCUUCAUCAGCACAUACACUAAAAUUGGGACGAUAUAGAGAAGAUUAGCACAGACCCUGCGCAAGGAUGACACGGAAAUUCGUGAAGCGUUCGUAUUUAUA
rnacentral:snRNA from 1 species